rnacentral:rRNA from 1 species
UACGAGGGGGGCAAGCGUUGUUCGGAAUUACUGGGCGUAAAGCGUGCGCAGGCGGUGAUGUAAGACCGAUGUGAAAUCCCCGGGCUUAACCUGGGAACUGCAUUGGUGACUGCAUCGCUCGAGUAUGGCAGAGGGGGGUAGAAUUCCACGUGUAGCAGUGAAAUGCGUAGAGAUGUGGAGGAAUACCGAUGGCGAAGGCAGCCCCCUGGGUCAAUACUGACGCUCAUGCACGAAAGCGUGGGGAGCAAACAGG